rnacentral:hammerhead_ribozyme from 1 species
AUCCAACUGACCAGUGCCGAAUAGGACGAAACGCGCGUCAAACUGCAU